rnacentral:rRNA from 1 species
AGAGUUUGAUCCUGGCUCAGAGUGAACGCUGGCGGCGUGCUUAACACAUGCAAGUCGCACGAGAACGCUUCUGCUUGCAGAGGCUAGUAAAGUGGCGCACGGGUGAGUAACACGUGGGUAAUCUACCUUUGGAUUGGGGAUAACAUUGCGAAAGCGAUGCUAAUACCGGAUAAUAUCGCUUAAUUUUCGAAUUUUGCGAUCAAAGAUGGCCUCUUCAUGAAAGCUAUCGUCUGAAGAUGAGCCCGCGCCCCAUUAGCUUGUUGGUAGGGUAACGGCCUACCAAGGCUACGAUGGGUAGCUGGUCUGAGAGGAUGAUCAGCCACACUGGAACUGACACACGGUCCAGACUCCUACGGGAGGCAGCAGUGAGGAAUUUUGCGCAAUGGGCGAAAGCCUGACGCAGCAACGCCGCAUGAGUGAUGAAGGCUUUCGGGUCGUAAAGCUCUGUCAAGUGGGAAGAACCUACAAAGUGCCAAUACCACUUUGUACUGACGGUACCACUGAAGGAAGCACCGGCUAACUCCGUGCCAGCAGCCGCGGUAAUACGGGGGGUGCAAGCGUUACUCGGAAUCAUUGGGCGUAAAGGGCGCGCAGGCGGCCUGGUAAGUCAGAUGUGAAAGCCCGGGGCUUAACCUCGGAAGUGCAUUUGAAACUGCUAGGCUUGAGUAUGGGAGAGGAAAGUGGAAUUCCUGGUGUAGAGGUGAAAUUCGUAGAUAUCAGGAGGAACACCUGUGGCGAAG